UACGAAGGGAGCUAGCGUUGUUCGGAAUUACUGGGCGUAAAGCGCACGUAGGCGGGCAACUAAGUCAGGGGUGAAAUCCCCGGGCUCAACCUGGGAACUGCAUCCGAAACUGCCUUGCUAGAGUAUGGGAGAGGGAAGUGGAAUUUCCGGUGUAGCAGUGAAAUGCGUAGAUAUCGGAAGGAACACCAGUGGCGAAGGCGACUUCCUGGACCAAUACUGACGCUCAGGUGCGAAAGCGUGGGGAGCAAACAGG
rnacentral:rRNA from 1 species